rnacentral:rRNA from 1 species
CACGUAGGCGGAUUAGUCAGUCAGAGGUGAAAUCCCGGGGCUCAACCCCGGAACUGCCUUUGAUACUGCUAGUCUUGAGUUCGAGAGAGGUGAGUGGAAUUCCGAGUGUAGAGGUGAAAUUCGUAGAUAUUCGGAGGAACACCAGUGGCGAAGGCGGCUCACUGGCUCGAUACUGACGCUGAGGUGCGAAAGUGUGGGGAGCAAACA